UACGUAGGAUCCGAGCGUUGUCCGGAAUUACUGGGUGUAAAGGGCGUGUAGGUGGGUCUCUAAGUCGGUGGUGAAAUCCUGCAGCUUAACUGUAGAAUUGCCCUCGAUACUGGAGAUCUUGAGUGCGGUAGAGGGAGAUGGAAUUCAUGGUGUAGCGGUGAAAUGUGUAGAUAUCAUGAAGAACACCAGUCGCGAAGGCGGUCUCCUGGUCCGCAACUGACACUGAGGCGCGAAAGCGUGGGGAGCAAACAGG
rnacentral:rRNA from 1 species